rnacentral:miRNA from 1 species
UGAUGUCCAGCUCUGGCGCUCU